AUUGAACGCUGGCGGCAGGCCUAACACAUGCAAGUCGAACGAGUGGCGGACGGGUGAGUCAUGUCUGGGAAACUGCCCGACGGAGGGGGAUAACUACUGGAAACGGUAGCUAAUACCGCAUACCAUCGGAUGUGCCCAGAUGGGAUUAGCUAGUAGGGGGGGUAACGGCUCACCUAGGCGACGAUCCCUAGCUGGUCUGAGAGGAUGACCGGCAACACGGGAACGUAGACACGGUCCAGACUCCUACGGGAGGCAGAAGUGGGGAAUAUUGGACAAUGGGCGAAAGCCUGAUGCAGCCAUGCCGCGUGUAUGAAGAAGGCCUUCGGGUUGUAAAGUACUUUCAGCGAGGAGGCGGUACUCGCAGAAGAAGCACCGGCUAACUCCGUGCCAGCAGCCGCGGUAAUUC
rnacentral:rRNA from 1 species